UGCUCUUUGGCGUCGCGGUCAAAGCUGCAGUUUGGUAUCCUGUAGACCCGGGUUCAAGGCCCGUUAGGGUGA